GCGGCGAGGCGGGCUGGUACAUGGCGGGCUCUGUGGGACUGGAGUUGUGCGAACAGACGCUGGUGGUGCGGGGCGGCAGCCGAUUCCUGGCCACCUCCACAGCAAGCAGUGAUGAUGACAGCCUUUUCAUCUAUGACUGCAGUGCUGCAGAAAAGAAGUCACAAGAAAAUAAAGGGGAGGACGCGCCCUUGGACCAGGGGAGCGGUGCGAUUCUGGCGUCCACCUUCUCCAAGUCUGGCAGCUAUUUUGCUUUAACCGAUGACAGACCGUGGCAAGGAGGUGUACAGCCCUGACCUUCACAGCCUCGGAGGAGAAGGUCUUGGUGGCCGACAAGUCUGGAGACGUCUACUCCUUUUCGGUGCUGGAGCCACACAGGUGUGGCCGUCUAGAGCUGGGGCACCUGUCUAUGCUGUUAGAUGUGGCUGUGAGUCCUGACGACUGCUUCAUCCUCACUGCCGACCGGGACGAGAAGAUCCGAGUCAGCUGGGCGGCGGCGCCCCACAGCAUCGAGUCCUUCUGCUUGGGGCACACAGAGUUUGUGAGCCGCAUCUCCCUGGUGCCAACUCAGCCCGGGCUGCUUCUGUCCUCCUCUGGGGAUGGCACCCUGAGGCUCUGGGAGUACAGGAGCGGCCGCCAGCUGCACUGCUGUCACCUGGCCAGUCUGCAGGAGCUGGUGGACCCCCAGGCCCCCCAGAGGUUUGCCGCGUCCAGGAUUGCGUUCUGGUGCCAGGAGAACUGCGUGGCGCUCCUGUGCGACGG
rnacentral:sRNA from 1 species